rnacentral:rRNA from 1 species
UUUAUUUAGAGAGUUUGAUCCUGGCUCAGGAUGAACGCUGGCGGCGUGCUUAACACAUGCAAGUCGAACGAAGCGCUUUGGACAGAUUCUUCGGAUGAAGUCCUUAGUGACUGAGUGGCGGACGGGUGAGUAACGCGUGGGUAACCUGCCUCAUACAGGGGGAUAACAGUUAGAAAUGGCUGCUAAUA